rnacentral:rRNA from 1 species
GUGAUGCGCUCUCGACGAGUCGAGUUGUUUGGGAAUGCAGCUCAAAACGGGUGGUAAAUUCCAUCUAAAGCUAAAUACAGGCGAGAGACCGAUAGCGAACAAGUACCGUGAGGGAAAGAUGAAAAGAACUUUGGAAAGAGAGUUAAACCGUACGUGAAAUUGCUGAAAGGGAAACGCUUGAUGUCAGUCGCGUCGGCCGGGGAUCAACCUUGCUUCUCGCUGGGUGUAUUUCCUGGUCGACGGGUCAGCAUCGGUUUCGGUCGCCGUACAAGGGCGAGGGGAACGUGGCACUCUUCGGAGUGUGUUAUAGCCUUUCGUCGCAUGCGGUGGUCGGGACCGAGGAACUCAGCACGGCUUCGGUCUGUGCUUAGGAUGCUGGCAUAAUGGCUUUAAUCGACCCGUCUUGAAACACGGACCAAGGAGUCUAACAUGCCUGCGAGUGUUUGGGUGAAAAACCCGAGCGCGUAAUGAAAGUGAAAGUUGAGAUCCCUGUCGUGGGGAGCAUCGACGCCCGGAGCAGACCUUUUGUGACGCAUCCGCGGUAGAGCAUGUAUGUUGGGACCCGAAAGAUGGUGAACUAUGCCUGAAUAGGGUGAAGCCAGAGGAAACUCUGGUGGAGGCUCGUAGCGAUUCUGACGUGCAAAUCGAUCGUCAAAUUUGGGUAUAGGGGCGAAAGACUAAUCGAACCAUCUAGUAGCUGGUUCCUGCC